rnacentral:rRNA from 1 species
UGUCUUGUAUUGGAAUGAUGGGAAUUUAAACCUCUUCCAGAGAAACAAUUGGAGGGCAAGUCUGGUGCCAGCAGCCGCGGUAAUUCCAGCUCCAAUAGCGUAUAUUAAAAUUGUUGCAGUUAAAAAGCUCGUAGUUGAAUUUCUGCUGCAUUGCAUUUUCUCCUAUACGAGUUUUUGCAUUGUGGCUUAUUUCGGUUAUAAAAUUUAUUUUUAUUUCCGGAUGUUUACUUUGAGAAAAUUAGAGUGCUCAAAGCAGGCUUUUGCCUUGAAUAGUUUAGCAUGAAAUAAUAAAGUAGGACUUUGGUUCUAUUUUGUUGGUUUUAGGUACCAAAGUAAUGGUUAAUAG